CCUACGGGUGGCAGCAGUGAGGAAUAUUGGACAAUGGCCGAGAGGCUGAACCAGCCAAGUCGCGUGAGGGAAGACGGCCCUACGGGUUGUAAACCUCGUUUGUCGGGGAGCAAAGAGAGUCACGUAUGACUCAUUGAGAGUACCCUAAGAAAUAGCAUCGUCUAACUUCGUGCCAUCAGCGGCGGUAAUACUGAGGAUGCGAGCGUUAUCCGGAUUGAUUGGGUUUAAAGGGUGCGCAGGGGGAGGUGCAAGGUAGGGGUAAAAUUGAGGGGCUAAACCCCGAACUGCAGUUGAAACUGCAUCCCUUGAGUGCGCAAGAAGUAUGCGGAAUGCGUGGUGUAGCGGUGAAAUGCAUAGAUAUCACGAAGAACUCCGAUUGCGAAGGCAGCAUACCGGCGCGCAACUGACGCUCAUGCACGAAAGCGUGGGUAUCGAACAGGAUUAGAUACCCGAGUAGUC
rnacentral:rRNA from 1 species